ensembl:lncRNA
UAUACCACUGCACUCCAGCCUGGGUGACAGAGCAAGAUUCCAUCUUUAAAAUAAAUAAAUAAAAGUGACACGCCAGGAUAAUCAGGCAUUUUGCAAUGAGAUGAUUGAACUGCUCUAUGUAAUUUUCUCAGUAAUCAUGAGAAUGGAGGAAAUUCUGGAAAACUAGAGACAACCAAAAAAGUAGGGAACAAAGUUUUUUUUUUUUUUUUUUUUUUUUUGAGAAAGCAGGUAGGUCCUGACAGUGAGAGACUGGUAAGCCUGGAGGUGACCUGAGCCAGGUUCUAGACCAGGAAGAUCCAUGAGCAUUUGGAAUAAGAGAUGUGGACCAGCAGGAGGCAACAUAAGCUCAUAAAGACCAAAGAUAAUUUUUUGUUUUGAUGGUGACUACAAGACAGACUCAGGAAGCUCUUCUGUUCCCUCCAAGAAGUCUGCAACUGAGACUGGAAAACCAGGGACGAACUCCCCAGGGAAGAGUGGUAAACAGAAAGAUGCCAGCAGUAUGUUCUCCCUUUGUUUCCAUCCAGUUCCUUUUCUUUUCUGUGUUUAUGAGCAGUCAUAGAAUUUAUGAAUUUAUCUUAGUCCAUUCUGAAUUUAUCUUAGUCCAUUCUAGGCUGAAAAGACAUCCUUCCACCUACUGACCUCUUUGGAGAUUACUGCAUGAAUCCAGUCCUAAAGAAAGUACCAUAUCCUAAGGCCUGAAAGCUAAUGGUCUCUUCCCACCAGCCCUGCUUUGAAAAGAAACCAGGGUUAGUUCCUGUGUAGGUCCAGGCAGAACUCCAGGGCUGGACUUUCUUUUAUCAUCUUGGCUGUUUCUUUCACCCAAUAUUAUUUUUAAUGGAACCUGUGUCUUUCAUUUGCCAGGCUGGGGCUCUUUUUUUUAUCAUUGGUGCCACAGGGAAGACUUAAGGGAAGGCUUGCUGCCACCACAUAAACGCACUAUUGUCUUGUGGCUGGAGACAUCCCACUUGCCUUUCCAGAUCCACUCUCCAGCUUUCUCUCCCUGUGUAGAAUACAUGAGGCUGAAGCAUGAGGUAGCAAUAAGCUCAUGUUCCCUGCAGCUUCUGCUGGGCCAGUUGCAAGCAAGAGACCAGUGGGAGAGAGGACAGGGAAGCAAGGGUCUUGAUUCCUUUAGCAUCUCCAAUUGGGAACUCUGCAGAUGGGCUGAAUUCCUUGUACAAAGAUUUUAGCUCCUUUAAGGCAAGUUUCUACCCACAGCCCUCUUCAUCUUGGGAUUUCAGUAACUGGUUUCUCCCCCUGCUCCUUCAGGCCUAGGGUGCAGAACAGAAUCUCAAUGACACUCUCCCUUGUGGUUCCUCCAUACCCUGCCCACACCUUUGAAAACAAUUCCUUUAUUUAACUGUACUCAAAGUAUCCCAAUUUGAGUAUACCAUGUCUUUCCUGCCAGGAUCCUGGCAACUCCCACCCAGUCCAAGGGCUUGGAAGUCAUCCUAUCUUUUUCCAUUGAUCUUUCACAUCUCAUCCAAUGUCUUUCAUUGUGAUUGUCCUGGGAAUUUGAAAAGACAAGGCUGAAUAUAUAAGGAGCAUGAUGAAAAUAUGACCCCGAGAAGGAGAAUGGGAAGGAAGACUGGAUGGAAGCAUUGUAGACUGCCUCGCAAUCUACAAGAGGUUUGGCAAAGCUACUGGGGAGUUCUCAAGCCAACAUCAGCCAUCAGAGGAGUCUUGUGUUUCCCAGGAAUGGGCCUGCCUUAGUAUUCCUGCUGUGCUCAUUGACUGGGAGUAACCCACUAGCAGUGUGGCCUCUAUGCAAAUAUGGCAAUGGAUUGCAGAGCACAGCUGCUUCCUUGUGGUUGGAAGUCCAUGAGACACAUUCUCACGGCUACUAUAUUCAUGCCAUGAACAUGUUUAGCAACACUCCCACCUCCUAUCACUAAUACUCUAUUUUUACCUUGCUGUAGCUAUUUCUUCCUCAAAGA